ACGGGGCCCGCACAAGCGGUGGAGCAUGUGGUUUAAUUCGACGCAACGCGAAAAACCUUACCUGGGUUUUGACAUGCCGGGUACCCGAUGGAAACAUUGGGGUGCCCCGUAAGGGGAACUUGGACACAGGUGCUGCAUGGCUGUCGUCAGCUCGUGCCGUGAGGUGUUGGGUUAAGUCCCGCAACGAGCGCAACCCUCACCCUUAGUUGCCAUCAUUAAGUUGGGCACCUAAGGGAACUGCCGCAGUUAAUGCGGAGGAAGGUGGGGAUGACGUCAAGUCCUCAUGGCCCUUAUAUCCAGGGCUACACACGUGCUACAAUGGACGGUACAAAGGGUCGCGAACCUGCAAAGGGGAGCUAACCCCAGAAAACCGCUCUCAGUUCGGAUUGGAGUCUGCAACCCGACUCCAUGAAGUUGGAAUCGCUAGUAAUCGCGGAUCAGAACGCCGCGGUCGAAUACGUUCCCGGGCCUU
rnacentral:rRNA from 1 species